rnacentral:piRNA from 1 species
GUCCGAGAGUAGUGGUGUUUACA